AUUAUUGAAACCCACUCAUCAAAUGACCUGCGAGUGCAUUAACGAAACACUAAGGGGACGAGGGUACUUUCAUGCCCUGAGCCCCUUCUGGACCUUAACAGGCAUGAAGGUCACUUGCUCUACCUUUUAGACAACCGAAACGAUCAGUAUCACCACCCGCGAUCGAAUAACAAACCACUAGUGUGAAUCAGGUCAAGGAACCAAAAUGAAAAAAAGCACAUGUGCCAUCACCAUCCUAUUUGCGGUGCAUGAGAGGGUGGCAUUAUGACUCCUUUUGUCACGAAAAACCAAAAUGACUCUCGGUAACAAAUAUCCUAGCUCUCACAUCGAUGAAAAACAUAGUAAAAUAUGAUACUUUGUGUGAAUUGUAAAAUCCCAUGAACCAUCGAAUUUUUGAACGCAAGUUAUACACUAAGCCAUUAGGCUGAGGGCACACAUACCUAGUUUCAUGCAUCAUUGCCCCCUCAAACCCCCCACCUGUUAAGCAUUAGGUGUUAAAUUGUGAGAAGUGUUCAAGUGUGAGCAUGUCUAUUAUGACCUAAAAGAUGGUGAAAUAUGCCUAAAAAGGGGGAAGCUAGAGUAAACUUUGGUGGAGGCCCACAAUGAUACUAACUUGCAGAUCAUUCAUAUAACUUGGGUAUAGGGGCAAAAGACUUAUCAAACCAUCUAAUAGCUAGUUCCCUCCAAAGUUUCCUUUAAGAUAGCUAAAGCCCUUAGCAAGUUCUAUAGGGUAAAUCCAAUGAUUAGAUGUAUCACAAACUUAAUGCCCUUGACCUAUUCUCAAACUUUAAAUAGGUAGGACGAUGUAGCUACUUCAUUAAGCCACACCAUGAAAUCAAGAGCUAUAAGUGGGCCAUUUUUGGUAAGCAAAACUGCUGAUGCAAGAUGAAUUGGAAGUCAAGUUAUGGUAACCAAUAGUGCACUAACCUAGAACUCAUUAAGGGUGUUGGUCAAUUAAGACAGCAAGACGAUGGUCAUGAAAGUUAAAAUCCAUGAAGAAGUGUGUAACAACUCACCUGUCGAAUCAACUAGCCCCAAAAAUGGAUGGUGCUUAAGCGUACAACCUAUACCUAACCAUCAAGGGAAGGGCUAGGCCCCAUUGAGUAGGAGAUCAUGGUGGUCAUCACAAAACUUGAGGCACGAGCCUGGGUAGAGCAACUAUCGAUGUAGAUCUUGGUGGUAGUAGCAAAUAUUCAAAUGAGAACUUUGAAGGCUGAAGAGGGGAAAGGUUCCAUAUGAACAACACUUACACAUGGGAUAAUUGAUCCUAAAAGAUAGGGGAAGCCCAUUCGACAGCAUGUUCAACAUGAGCUUCGAAAGGGAAUCAGGUUAAAAUUCUUGAACUGAGAUGUGAUGAUUGAUAGCAACGUUAAGAAGUCCAAAGAUGCUAGUAAGAACCUCAAGAAAAGUUACAUUUUCUAUUUAACAACUUUCCCACCCUAGAAACAACUAAGCUAGAGAUAGGGUCCAACAGUUGGAAGAGUACCACAUCUCAAAUGGUAUCCGAUGCACCACCAGGCCCUUGCAAAUCUAGAAGACCAAAUGCCAUCAGUGCCUAGUCAUACUCAUAAUCGCAUCAGGUCUCCAAGGUGAAUAGCCUUUGGUUGAUGGAACAAUGUAGGCAGAGAAGUCGACAAAAUGGAUUUGUAACCUCAGGAAAAGGAUUGGCUUUGAGGGUUGGGAAUGAGGGUCCUAGUCUCAAACCCCUCGAUUACUGGUGCACUACUCUAGCUAUUUUCACAGCAAGGAUAGGUCACUGCAAUCCAGUCAGGGGAGGAUUAGGAAUGGCUCAUUCGGGGACCUUUCUUACGUGAUGAACAGUCAACUCAAAAUUGGAACAAACAAGGGGAAUCUAACUAUUUAAUUAAAACAAAUCAUUGUGAUGGUCUCUAUGGAUGCUCACACAAUGUGAUUUCUACCCAAUGCUCUGAAUGUCAAAGUGAAGAAUUCAACUAAGUGUAGGUAAAUGGUAUGAGUAAUUAUGAUUUUCUUAAGGUAGCUAAAUGCCUCGUCAUCUAGUUAGUGACACACAUGAAUGGAUUAACGAGAUUCCCACUAUUCCUAUUUACUACCUAGUGAAACCAUAGCCAAAAGAACAGGCUUGGUAGAAUCAAUGAAAAAAGAAGACCUUAUUAAGCUUGACUCUAGUCCAACUUUGUGCAAUGACUUGAGAGGUGUAGGAUAAGUGGGAGCCCUUAGGCAAAAUUAAAAUACCAAUACUUUUAAUGUUAUUUUACUUAUUUUGUGAAUCAAAAGAGGGGCACAACCUCUUUUUAUACACCAAAGGUUGACCUUGGUUGGUCGAUCCAGAUGGAAGACAUUGUCAGGUAGGGAGUUUGGCUAGGGUGGCACAAUUUUUAAAAGAUAAUGUAGGUGUCCUAAGAUGAGCUCAAUGAGAAUACAAAUCGUAUGUGGAACAAAAGGGUAAAAGUUCAUUUGAUUUUGAUUGCCAGUAUAAAUAUAAACCAUAAAAGCAUGGCCUAUCGAUUUUUUAAACCUUUGAAUUUGAUGCAAGAGGUGUUAGAAAAGUUACCAUAGGGAUAACUAGCUUAUGGUAGCCAAGUGUUCAUAGCGAUGUUGCUUUUUGUUCUUUUGAUGUCAACUCUUCCUAUCAUUGUGAAGUAGAAUUCACCAAGUGUUGGAUUGUUCACCCACCAAUAGGAAAUAUGAGCUGGGUUUAGACUAUCAUAAGGUAGGUUAGUUUUUCCCAACUGAUGAUAGCAUCACAAUAGUAAUUCAACCUAGUAUGAGAGGAACUAUUGACUCACAUAAUUGGUCAUCAUGCUUGGUUAAAAAGCCAUUGGUACGAAGCUACCAUGCACUAGAUUAUGACUAAUUGCCUCUAAGUUAGAAUCUAAGCUAAAAAUGAUGCAUAUGCCUAUCGCCCAAUUGUCGACCCACAGUAGGGGCCAUGGCCCCCAAGGGCAUAUGUUGUAGGUGCAGCCCCCAAGGAAGAUGAGCCGUACAGGCUUUCUUAGAGCUUAAUUCCCAUUAAG
rnacentral:rRNA from 1 species